UGGGGAAUCUUGCACAAUGGGGGAAACCCUGAUGCAGCGACGCCGCGUGAGCGAUGAAGCCCUUCGGGGUGUAAAGCUCUUUCGACAGGAACGAUAAUGACGGUACCUGUGGAAGAAGCUGCGGCUAACUACGUGCCAGCAGCCGCGGUAAUACGUAGGCAGCAAGCGUUGUUCGGAGUUACUGGGCGUAAAGGGUGUGUAGGCGGUUCACUAAGUUCGGUGUGAAAUCUCCCGGCUUAACUGGGAGGGUGCAUUGAAAACUGGUGGGCUUGAGUAUGGGAGAGGUAAGCGGAAUUCCUGGUGUAGCGGUGAAAUGCGUAGAUAUCAGGAGGAACACCUGUGGUGUAGACAGCUUACUGGACCAUCACUGACGCUGAAACACGAAAGCGUGGGUAGCAAACAG
rnacentral:rRNA from 1 species